rnacentral:rRNA from 1 species
AUGGUGUUCACGAUUGCUGUUUGGUACAUUUGGGGAAACAAAAAUAACAUUAGAAACGGGGAGAGUUUCAUUCACCCACAACGUGUAGUUGGGAAGAUUAAUGCAUAUAUUGAUUUUGUUAUCCUAAAUAAUUUCAGAUCGACUCACCUUACUAGGUGAGAGACCCAAGCAUCAACCCACAAAGUGGUCACCACCGCCGAAGGGUCGGUUCUGAUCAGUACAGAUGCAGCAAUCUUCUAAGACUCAUGUCGUAUGGGUAUCGGAGUUGUGAUCUGUUACCAUCUGGGAGUGGUACGGGCUGCUUGCAGAUGCUACGUGGACCAGGUGGAAGACCCAGAACUUGCUGAAGCCAUAGCGGUGCGACAUGCCUUAUCAUUCACCGAAGAAGCUGGCUUCCAAUCCAUUAUUAUGGCAUCUGAUUGUUCUACUGUAGUCAAUAAGGUGAAGAAUGUGGCAACCGAUAGAUCUCAAAUAGGUGCCAUAAUAUAUGACAUCAAAAAUAGGGCUCUUAAGUUUAAAUCUUGUAUGUUUACUCAUGUCAACUGAUCAUGUAAUGUGGCAACUCAUGUUCUUGCUAGAUCUGUAGAACACGAACCUGGGUCCUGCUGAUUUAAUGUUGUACCUCAUGUAAUCAGGACCAUCAUUUGUACUGAAACAUUUGGUGAACGAAUGUAA